UGUUCAAACAGGUGGUCGGCCGAUGUCUUUCGCGGCCGAAGGGGGGAGGGAGGGCUUAAAACGCGCGGCUUCGUUCCUGCUUCGAACGUUCGUCCGCCAUUAAGGGAGGUUUUCCCGUGUCUCGGGUCAAAAUUAACGAUAUUCAAAUUUCUCUAUUUUUUUAGAAGAAAAGUGCGCAACGUAACAAACUGUUCAUUUUAUGUGGCGCUUGUCGUAAUUACUGAAAGCAAGAUAUAAGUUGUUUUUUUUUUUUUUUUUUUUUUGGAGGGAGUUGGAAGCUGCUUUAAUAACGGAAAUAUUAUUAAUAAUGCGCUGUAAAGAAAAGUGUUUCGGAGAUAAAGUAUGCUGAAAUUUUUGAGGUUAAUUAAUAUGCGUGCGUGAUGACGGGGGGAGGUAAUUCCAUGAAUUUUUUUCAUGUCAAUCACUCGCGUUGGGAACGAGUUAUUAAUGAUACCCUGGUGUUAGCUUGGCUUGGCCACGUGUCUCCACUUAACUCGAAAGCGUCGACGCUGUGUAAACGCUAUUGGAACGGAGGUAAACACUUCGGGGCGAAUGUCGAAAGCAUCGACGGAAAGAGGGGAAGCUAAUUAACGUAGUAAAAUUUUUCGUGCUUCUCCGACGCUUCCGGGCUGAAUUUCCUAGCAUUUCGAACGCCACAGAUCGUAAGACGUGCAUUGUAUUUAAAGUUGACACGAGUUUCUCGAAGUAAAGAAACCUGAUCUAAUAAUAAUCUAAUAAUAAUUUGGAAAGCGAUUGGCAUGAUUUACAGUCUGUGACUCCCACGAGUCGAAGCCACGAAAAGCUUGCAGCUCUCUGUUGAGGAGGAAGGAUGCAGGAAACGCAGCUACACGCGACAGAGGAUGUAGAGGGACACGCCGUUAUCAGAAUUUCCGGUGUUCGGCGAUAAUAAUAACUAACUACCGCUACCACUCGGUUUCGACUCCCUGGUUGUCGCUUCUCUGCGUAUAUCGUAUCGACAAAUUAAAUACUCACUGCCUGCGUCGCGCAUAUAUAGAUUAAUUUACUCUCCGCGGCCUUGGGUAGGAGGAGGCUUGAUAAAAAUUGGGAAAUUAAUAAAAGCGACCGGGAAAUGGAAAAAUUCUACCGUGGAAAAAUCAUGGGGUGGAAAAAUCUCGAGAUGGAAAGAUUCUGAUAUGGAAAAAGCUCAGUGGAGAAAUCCUGAGGUGGAGAAAGCUUGAUGAAAGAACCCCGAGGUGGAAAAAUCUUGAAAUAUAAAAAUCCUGAGGUAGAUAAAUCUUGAGAUAUAAAAAUCCUGAGGUGGAAGACUCGAUAGAAAAAUCCUGAGGUGGAAAAAGCUUGAUGAAAAUAGUCUGAGGUGGAUAAAUUUUGAAAUAUAAGAAUCCUGAGGCGGAAAACUCGAUAGAAAAAUCCUGAGGUGGAGAAAACUUGAUGAAAGAAUCCUGAGGUGGAGAAAGCUUGAUGAAAGUACCCCGAGGUGUAAAAAUUUUGAAAUAUAAGAAUCCCGAAAUGGAAAAAGCUUGAAAUGUAAAGAUCCUGAGGUGAACAAAUCUGGACAUAUAAAAAUCCUGAGAUGGUAAAGACCCAACACAAAAAACCUGAGAUGGAACAACAUUGAUGCAAGGAUCCCGAGGUGAAUAAAUCUUGAGAUGGAAAGAUCCCAAGGUGGAAAAAUCUCGUGACACGAAGAUCUCGACGUGGAAAAUCUGUGGAAUACGCAGAGCUACGCCGAUGACCGUCGUCCGUGUCGACGCUGACGAGAAAUACGGGCGCGUUCGUCUCGCGUUACUUCAUCAGAGACGUUCGUAACAGAGAGGACGAAGAGGUCAGCGUACCGCAGCCGCGCAUCCGGCAGAAACGGGACUGGGAAGCAAUUGGAUAUCGUAUAUAGGUAAGCAACUAGUCGCUGACGUCGGCGACACUCUUGCGACUCUUCGACAACGGACGCGCACGGCUCGAGUUGCGUUCCUCGCUCCGCGUGCAGACGCCACCCUUGACCCAUUCACGAUCCUCAAACGAUCAACCAUUAAACUUGAACGCUGAACGCUCGAAAUUUCCUCCUUCCACCUCGAGAAUCGACCACUUUAGAAUUUUUCAGCUGUAAUCGUCAUUACGAAUCGAUUGUUGGGUUUGUUUCGAGAGUAGCUACGCAGGUUAGGUCACGUUCCGGAAAGGUUUCGUCCCAUUGUGCGUAAUGGGGCAAUAAACAUCUAGGCCUGCUUCUGUCCGACGAGCCAGGCUCCUGUUUACCCGAAGUGAGUCACUGCGCCCUUCCAUCGAACGGUAAAAAUCUCCACGGUUUUGAAACGCGUACACACGGUGCGCUUUCUAGUGCAAAGGUCGCUUUUGUGCAAAGUCCAACGUCGAUCCAUGGUCGUUAAGCACUAGGGAAAGGAAUGAAUAUCCACUUCUCGGACGACAGAUCGUUACGUUACGAAAACACCGGACUCUUCGUAACAGAAUAUUCGAAGGCGUCGCGGGGACUCUCAAAAAAGUGACGAGGCGACGAGGAAUGAGAAUAGGAGGAUCGAAUUACCGCGACGGAGACUGGAAGAGCAAAGAGAGCCGAAGGAAGUCGAGAGACGGAAAGUUACGUGGAAUGCAAGCGUGAAAGCACAGGGAAGGGGAGAUAAGAAAGGGCGAGGAGACGAUUAGAGGACGAGGAGGUCAGAGGACAAGUGAAGCCCACGCGAGGGAUAACAGCAGAGGGAGAGGUUGGAUGGCUAUCGGAUAUGACACGAGAAAGGUGCUGACGGUUAAACGAACGCUACCGUGGGCAAUGAAUUAUAUUGUCCCUCCUCUUCUACGGUCAGGUCAACACCGACCGACGUAUUAGUUCCAUCGUUAGGUUUUAGCAACAGUAAAGACUGAAAUCACCCAAAAUAAAAAUUAAUUCGGUUUUAAAAAUGAAGGUUUUUUUUUUAGUGAGUAAUAGCCCUAUUUGUAAGCGAUAAAUGCGUUCUUAGGUGGCGAGGUCGGACUCAACGUAAGAGAGGAGGGUUAAUUGCUACACAGAGGCCACCUACAGGUAGGACAUAGGGUUUUAGAGACAAAAAUAAAAAGAGUAAAAGGUAAGUAAAUCUUCCAUAUUUCUCCGACGCCUCCAGAACAAUCCCUAGCAUCCCAAUUACCAGUCAGUUCCUACUAAAGAUAUUUUUCAUUGUUUAUAAAUUGUAUGUACUGUCUAGUCAAAGAAACCUAACCCAGCACAAAAUAUUUCAACUUGAUAAUUACUAUUGCAUCAAUCAUGGGUAUAAUAGUACAAAUAUUCUUCAUUGUUUAUACAUUUUAUGUACUGUCUAGUCAAAGAAACCUAACCCAGCACAAAAUAUUUCAACUCGAUAAUUACUACUGCAUGGGUUUACCUAAUGCUAUUCUAUUCAUA